GAUAAACGCUGGCGGCGUGCCUAACACAUGCAAGUCGAACGAAGUGGCGAACGGGUGAGUAACACGUGUGUAACCUGCCUUACACAAGGGGAUAGCCUUUGGAAACGAAGAAUAAUACCCUACAGUGUAAGAUGGACUUGCGUCUGAUUAGCUAGUUGGUGAGAUAAAGGCACACCAAGGCAACGAGCGGUAGCCGGGUUGAGGGAGAGUACGGCCACAUUGGGACUGGGACACGGCACGAACUCAACGGGAGGCAGCAGUGGAGAAUUAUGCACAAUGGGGGAGACACUGAUGCAGCGAGGCCGCGGGAUUUAGAAGGGCGUAGGGUUGUAAAAAUGUUUUGUAUGAGAGGCAGUACCAUAAGAAUAAGGGCCGGCUAAAUACGUGCCAGCCGCCGCGGUAAUUC
rnacentral:rRNA from 1 species